rnacentral:ncRNA from 2 species
UGUAGGAGCCGGCUUGCUGGCGAUGGCGUCACCGCGGUUAAUCAGCCACACCGCGUUGUCCGGAUCGCCAGCAAGCCGGCUCCUACA